GUAAUACGUAGGGACCAAGCGUUGUUCGGAUUUACUGGGCGUAAAGGGCGCGUAGGCGGCGUGUCAAGUCAAUUGUGAAAUCUCCGAGCUUAACUCGGAACGGUCAAUUGAUACUGAUGUGCUAGAGUGCAGAAGGGGCAAUCGGAAUUCUUGGUGUAGCGGUGAAAUGCGUAGAUAUCAAGAGGAACACCUGAGGUGAAGACGGGUUGCUGGGCUGACACUGACGUUGAGGCGCGAAAGCUAGGGUAGCAAACGGGAUUAGAUACCCCGGUAGUCCUAGCCCUAAACGAUGAAUACUUGGUGUCUGGAGUUUUAAUUCUCCGGGUGCCGUCGCUAACGUUUUUAGUAUUCCGCCUGGGGAGUACGCACGCAAGUGUGAAACCCAAAGGAAUUGACGGGGACCCGCACAAGCGGUGGAGCAUGUGGUUUAAUUCGACGCAACGCGAAGAACCUUACCUGGACUAGAAUGCGAGGGAAGCUUGGGUAACGCCAGGCGUCUGGGCAACCAGACCCGGAGCAAGGUGCUGCAUGGCUGUCGUCAGCUCGUGUCGUGAGAUGUUGGGGUUAAGUCCCGCAACGAGCGCAACCCCUAUCAACAGUUGCCAUCAUUAAGUUGGGAACUCUGUUGAGACUGCCGUUGAUAAAGCGGAGGAAGUGGGGGGAUGAUGUCAAGUCAUCAUGUCUUUAUGUUCAGGGCUACACACGUGCUACAAUGGCAGGUACAAAGCGUCGCAAAAUCGUAAGAUGGAGCCAAUCGCAAAAAGCCUGUCUCAGUCGGGAUUGAAGUCUGCAACUCGACUUCAUGAAGCUGGAAUCGCUAGUAAUCGCAGAUCAGACGCUGCGGGUGAGUACGUUCCCGGGAUCUUGUACACACGCCCGUCACAUCACGAAAGUGAUGUACUAGAGUA
rnacentral:rRNA from 1 species